GGGAGCCUUACUCUGGCAUUGUCUCGAAUGGAGAGAUCAGGAAUGAAGAGACAGGGAGAGGAGAGGACCCUGCCAGGUCCCUGGCGCAGGUGAGGGCUUUCCAUAGUGAGGUAGGGGAGGAGUCUGCUUCUGCUGCUGAGGAAGAUUCAUUUGGCCUUGAAUCUGUUCUAACAUCCUUUUUCGAACCUGCUCUGUCCCAACACUGCCCUAUUUUUACAAAACAGACUGCAUGAGCCAGAAAUGGACAUCUGCUGUCAUUCAGCAAUCCACAAAGGCUGCUUCUGAGAGGAGGAACCAGCACUAUUUUACUCUGCCAGUGUUGAUACUGAAAAUCUCAACCUGAGUAUCCUCAGUGAGAGCUUGCUGUUCUCUCCACCUGGAAGACUCUGCUGCUCCAUGCCUCCUUCCUAGGCAUCCAAAUGCCCACUUACUCCUUAUGCCGGUCUCCAGAAGUGCCCCACCUUCCCAGGCUUUCCCACAUCACCCCAGCACUUUAUACCUCGAUCACAUCUCCCUCUGGUCUCUUCUUUGCAGCAUUUAUCAUCACCUGACAUGACCCUGUUCCAUUGUUUGCUUGAUUGCAAUCUCUUCCCCUGCCAGAAUGUAAGAAAUAUCUUGAAAUAGUUCCUGACGCCAAAAAGGUUUUCAUAAAUUUGUGAAUGAGCGUAUUAAAAAAAUGAUUAAUUGA